rnacentral:lncRNA from 1 species
GACUACAAAUCUCCUCCACCACCAUACGUCUACAACUCUCCACCACCACCUUAUUACUCUCCUUCUCCAAAGGUAGAAUACAAGUCUCCACCACCACCAUAUGUCUACAACUCUCCACCACCACCUUAUUACUCUCUUUCUCCUAAAGUAGACUACAAGUCUCCACCACCACCAUACGUCUACAACUCUCCACCACCACCUUAUUACUCUCCUUCUCCAAAGGUAGACUACAAGUUUUCACCACCACCAUACGUCUACAACUCUCCAUCACCACCAUAUUACUCUCCUUCUCCUAAAGUAGACUACAAGUCUCCACCACCACCAUACGUCUACAACUCUCCACCACCAC